rnacentral:rRNA from 1 species
CCUACGGGAGGCAGCAGUGGGGAAUAUUGCACAAUGGGGGGAACCCUGAUGCAGCAACGCCGCGUGGGUGAAGAAGUACUCCGGUAUGUAAAGCCCUGUCAGCAGGGAAGAAAAUGACGGUACCUGACCAAGAAGCCCCGGCUAACUACGUGCCAGCAGCCGCGGUAAUACGUAGGGGGCAAGCGUUAUCCGGAUUUACUGGGUGUAAAGGGAGCGUAGACGGCAAGGCAAGUCUGGAGUGAAAGCCCGGGGCCCAACCACGGGACUGCUUUGGAAACUGUGUUGCUGGCGUGCAGGAGGGGUAAGCGGAAUUCCUAGUGUAGCGGUGAAAUGCGUAGAUAUUAGGAGGAACACCGGUGGCGAAGGCGGCUUACUGGACUGUAACUGACGUUGAGGCUCGAAGGCGUGGGGAGCAAACAGGAUUAGAUACCCCAGCAGUC